GCAGUCGUGGCCGAGGGGUAAAAGCGAUGGACUAGAAAGCCAUUGGGGUCUCCCCGCACAGGUUCGAAUCCUUUCGACUGCG
rfam:Ixodes scapularis strain Wikel colony gcontig_1108378813658, whole genome shotgun sequence.